rnacentral:tRNA from 1 species
GCUUCAGUGGUGGAAAUGGAUAUACACUCUGGUCUUAGAAGCCAGCGCCCUAGAGGAUUGUGAGUUCGAGUCUCACCUGAAGCACCA